CCGCAAAUGAAAUAACCAUACCGAUUAUCAAAUCUACCAUGAACAAGAAACGAACAGCUAUAGAAAGGUAAGUACUAAGCUCUUGAAAAUGGAAUGUCAAAUAUGAGGCAGCAUAAAUACAUCUACUGGAUACACACACACAUGUAAUGGCUAAAUGCAAAAUAAGAAUGCGGUGAGAGAGAGAGAGAGUACAUCAAGGAGCAUUUUUUUCUCAACAUUGUCUACACCAAUGAACUAUAGUAUAGCAACUAUCAGA
rnacentral:misc_RNA from 1 species